GUUAGGGGCGACUGCAACGAAGCGUUGCGGCAAGUUACGGUGGGAGCUUCUGUCCGUGCUGUGUGAUUGCGACGAGGGGACCGCCGCCAGCAGCAGCGUAUCGCCGAUUUCGUCUUUCGGUUUGCACUGCAUCUUUCAUUGUGAUAUGGGAGAUCGCAACGGACAGAGACGACCAGAUGCAUACGAACCACUACCAGCGGGGACCUGUGACCUGUGCCAUAUUUCUCUUAACGUCUCAGGUAUUCAAGAAAUGCCAACAUCCAGAAGACGCCAUCUUAUCCAGCACGUUAUGGGUACACUCUGGUGGCUCCCGCCCUUGCAUCCUACCACCACUGUAUCCUGACUACGUCCACUAGAGAGUUCGAAGCCUUUGGCGGCUCCUGCCACUGCGUCCUGCCACCACCGUGUCCUGACUACGUCCACUAGGGAGUUGGCAGCCUUCGUGAUGAUGCCAAGCAGGCUGGAAGCCGACAGAAAGAUUAAGGUUGCCUCGAAAUUUUACCAAAGCCGUACCACACACUCGGGCAAGGCCUUUUUGCAAAUGGCGUAUAACCAGGCUCAACGCAUGAGUGUCGAGUGAGUCUGGAGAUCAAGGCAACCUGCUGUGCAACCAGCAUGCAACCUUUGGUGGCCCCUCUACAUGUUCCACCUAUUUCACAGCUGCACCUCAGCCGCAACUUAUCCAAACAGCAUCACCAACUGUGGUCACUCAUCGAACCAUGGAUGAAUGUUGGGUGGAGUGAUUUGAAGAGACAUUCUAUUUGUCUCUUCAAAUUCUUAGCAAAUACUUGUGUUAUUAUAAUUAAUAUGUGUCUUUAGUGCCGAGUUUUUAAUGGUUCCUUUCUAUUAAAAUUCUCACCAUCGAUUCCUGGUAUUAUAAUGUAUGUCUUUAUGCCCAGUUUUUCGUAGUUGUUUCGUACUUGUGUGUGUAAUCGAUAGGUUCAUACUUGUUAUACAGAAGGCUAAAAUGCAAACUUACAGCAUUUUUUUUCUUUCUUUUGAUAAUCUACAGCACUGCAAAGGGUUCAAGAAAUGUAACCUAACGUGGGCUCUUGUGCAGGAAAAAUUUAAGAGCAAUAUAGAGUACUUAUUUCAAACACCCAUUAUUCUUGGAAAAGUCAAGAAUAUAGGAGCACAAAAAGAAAAUAUUAAACUAGAGAAACAUGAGUUCCCCUCAUAGGUCUGAUAAUAAUGCGACUUCCUUUCACUGCAAAGAUACCAGUAAUGUACUCGCAUACAAGGUUUCAAACAAGAAAGCUAUGAUGCCCUUGGCAUUUCUCAGUGCCUAUUUGCCACACUGACGAAUGUCAAAGGCAUCGUAGGUUUCAUGCACACAUUGGUUGUGUUACACUUUUGAGUAUUGCAUUUCUCAAACACAAAGGUUUACAGCAGUGCUUUAAAUAGCAAGUGCAUUUCCUAAUUUAUUAGUACAAGAGUAACAGUACAGAUCAUGUAAAAAUUAUUUUACAGACUAUAUGUCCAUGGAUGCACGCUUCUGAUGACAUAGCAGUGACGUGUUCGUGGGAUGAAUGUCUUUAUUUCAGAUUUAAAUAUUGGCUUCCAGGUCUGGGUUAGUCUCCUACACUGAGUAGUCUAGGUCAGAGCCCAUUUACUAGAGAAAGUGAAUUAAACUAGGAAUUAUAAACAUGAAAAGAUCUUGUUUAGGACACCAAUAAGACAAUCAGCAAGGUUCUUUGGUUAUUCAUUUCCAAAUUUGUGAGGAUAUAUUUUAUGACUAGUUUCAAUAUUGUGAAAACAAAUAUUUGUUUAUUGUCACACUAGAGUUGGCUGCCCCCAUUUGUGUACAACCCCUUUACAGGCUAAAAAUUCAGUGUGUUACCCUAUUUACUCGCAUAAUGAUCGCACUUUUUUGUAAAAAAAAUUGACUCAAAUUCAGGGGUGCGAUCAUUACGCUGUUUAAAUUUCCCGCAAAAAGAAAAAAUAUAUUAUCUGGCAUUUACUACGGGAUGACAACAGGUCAACAAAUAGGCGGCUGCUGCUGUAUGUAGUGCAGGACACGAAAAAAAAUGGUGGCCGGCAGAGCAAGCCGAACGCGUUGAUUGCGUUUUUCUUCUCGUGAGUACAUUACAGUGCAUUCAAACAGUUUCUUCCAUAUUAGUAAUGAAUAAAAUCGGCGAGUUUGCGGCAAUAACAUAGCCAUGCCCACUGUGAGGGGACAGAGAUAGGCGCGCUUAGCUCUGCCAGUGACAUAGGAACACAUGGUGGGCAUGCUGCGGAAACUGCGGCAUUUGUCUUCACCACUAUCCUAAUGUGGCACAUUUCCGCUAAGGGUGGGCGAAUAUCUUAGCUGCGCUACAAACGUCGGCGAAUGAAUAGGGUACACUUCUAACGUAUCAGUGUAAACGUGGCUGCUAUCAUUGCCGCUCGCGAUUUGUUGCGUGCCCACAAGUGCAGAUGAGAAGAAUCGAAAGACGCCUUUUUUGUUGUUUUUGUUGACCACAACCAUUUUUUGUCGUAGAAGUGCAGAAAGUGAUGAAAGGAAUGAAAUGGGGCAUCUGCUUAAGAAAGUUUUUUGCAUGCAGUCUGCUUGGUUUGUCUUGAAGAGUCGUUCGCAUAGCAGUCGACAGAUGGUAAGCGCGAUCAUUAUUAGCUAGAUUUGGCACAUGACACAUCGCUGCGGCAAGUUCGGGGUGAAAUCGUUACAUGGGAAAUUUAAAAAAUCGAAUUUUCACGACAAAAUUUAGGAGUGCGAUCAUUACGCGAGUGCAAUCAUUAUGCGAGUAAAUACGGUAAUAGGCUGUUUUUGGUUUCGUUCACUCUGUGUUAAGGGAUGCAAAUGGUGACAUACAACAGAAUGCAAAAAUGACUAAUGAAUUCAAGCAGGGCAUGGGGCUUUUUAGGCAGAUGCGUGCGUGUGCUAUUUAUAAAGCUCCCCAUGGUAUGCCUGAAGGCAUUUUCUAACACUUUGGUAGAAUACACUGACACCCCCUUAUUAACUCUUCGAAACAACUCUUUUAUAUAUUUGUACUAGAGAUUUGAAUAUACUGUCAUUCAUAAAGUGUUUUAUUAGAUUUGAAUUGUCAUUUAUUUUUGUGUAGCUGCUGUUUUUCAGUUAUGUCCUACACAGUGGCAAAAUAUUUUUGUGGGCACUUUCCUGUGUAUAAAAUUUUCAGAAAUAGCUUCAUGCUGUAUCUUAUUUAGCUACUCGUAUACUGCAAAGUGGUGAUACCUAUCCAAAUGGCUUGUACAAUUACUGGAACUAUGCAAAAAUAUAUUAGGCCACAUUAAAUAAUUUUACAGAUUACAAUUUCAAUUAGAUAUCAGCAUUCUGCAUAUCUUGAAGAGUACGUAUGCCAAAUUUCGAAGUAUAGGACAACUAUAAGUGCAUAAGGUUAUUCUCAUGCUAUUGUGAGAAAAUGUUUUUGAAGUAUAUUCAAUAGUUUUUUUUUCACAAUAGCAUGAGAAGUAUGCAAGAUUAGCAUACUUCUAGUAACUUUACAUGCUCUUUGAAUAGAUAUCGGCACUUUGCAGUCUACAAAGAGCUGAGGUAGCUACAGCACACUGCUUUUUGUGAAAAUUUACACAAGAAAGUGCCCGCAAAGAUCAGUGUAUUUUCCCAUUGUGUAGGACAUAACUCAAGAAGCAGCUAAAGAAAUACUGACAUAUAUGACAUCUGCAUGAAGAACUCUACAAUUUGCUCUCUUUUCAAGCCUCUAGCACGAAUAAUAAGACUGUUUCGAGUAAUAUUCAAUCAGCAAAACAUGCCCCUUGCUAUAGUGACCUACAACCUAGAAGCGCAAAUUGAACGCAAGUCUUUUUGUUGAAGCGACUCUGGGCUGUCUUCCCAAGGGCUUCUGUUAAACACUGAAAUUUCCUGCAUUUACCAGAAGUGCAAUGCUCAAAUGUUUGUGUAUGUGCAAUUGGUAUUGGCAAACUAACAGAAAAAAAGACAGUUCUGUGAAAUGAAGAAUUGACUAUAACUUUGUUCGACAUUUACAUUUUGACUCCAUAUCUUUGUUUUGUGCUUUGUACUGAGUGUUUCAGCAGUGACUGCCACUAAAAAUUGAACAUAACUGCUUCAUGACAAUGCGACAAUUUUCGCUAACAGAAAUUUAUAGCACUGGCAGGCAUUAUAAUUACCGUACUCAAUAACGUCUAGUUUGUAAGAACUCGGACUAGCACCAGUUCCGAUAUACACAACCCAAAAAGACAUGAUCAGAAAGGUUUAUCUUCCACACAGAAUUGUCCCAUAAAGCUUACAAAAUGUUUUGUGGCUAAGUAAUAUCUGCAACAGCAAAGCAUGUUCCACCAAGUAUGGCGAUAAAUAUUUCAGAGCUGUCAGUCUGAGGACUCCUACAAACUAACAAUACCUUCAGCACUGACUAGCCUCAAUAAUAGGAGGUCAGCCAUUUUGCUGAAAUUAAUAAAACUUCAAUUAUUGUGAUCUUGUUUACGAAAACAUUUGCAAUUGUAAUUCAGUUCUAGUAUCUGUCACUUUUGUAAAUAUUUUCCAAUUAGUUUUUCAGACUACAAUUUUUGGUAAUAGAAGUAUUCAUUGCAGAAAGAUCUAGUACAUGGCACUUAAUAAUAAAGGUACUGGUCAUCGUAGACUUUCUGUUGCACAGCUGUUUCUUGAAAUCUGAAAGGAUGUACCUGCCUCCUUAUGUUAGCUAGAAACGGAAAUCUGUCAGUAUGUUUUGUUUAAUAUACAGCUGAUCAACCCGAUAGUUAGGCUGCUUGCCAAAUAUAAAUUAUAACGAUAAUAGUGAAGGACCAUAAUAACAAAGUGAUGCUGACUCAUAACUAUGCCCAGCUACAUCCACGCAGCUGUGCCAUACAAUGUGCAUGUGUUCAGAAGAGCCAAAUGCCCCAGAGAGAAAGCAACAGUAACUCAUUUUUUGUCAUCUUGUUCAAGCAGAUUAUGCGCUAGCUGUAAUUUAUGCUCAGUAAAUACAUAAAUCAGUCAUGUCAGGUAUCUUACUUUAGGUUGCAAGUUCGAAGUUCUUGUAAUCUUGCUUGUUUUUAUUUUGUUUUCUUUGUGAGAAUGAGUCACUUGGUUGCCUUCGCACAUAUUCUCAAAACUGUUUCAUCACUGGGAACCAGGAAAUUUAAUUUGCAUAUGAAAUUCCCAGUUACUAAUUUGGUAGGCUUUGUGCUUAAUUCUCUUAUCUUUUAUAUGUUUAUCUACCAAGUAGUCUUAUCGUUCAUUGAAACAUAUCCAUGUAAUGCAGAGAGGGCACCCAAAUUAUAAAUAUCUCUUCUUGCUUUCUACCCUGCUCUGGUGUUUUCAAAACCUAGCAUUGGUGCAAUGGCCUGUCUGCAGAAAAGUAGUAAAGUGGCUAAAUUUAAAGGUCAACAACAUAAUCAAGAUACAAAGCAAAAAUACAAGUUCGCAAUUGUCCCCCAUAACGAGAGUUCUGCUUAGAAUUUAAAAAAAAUUGACAUCCUGCUGUGGUGUGAGAAUUGCUUUGGGUUCCAAGGGGACUACGUAGCACCUGUACUAGUGUAUACAAAGCAAAAAAAAAGAUCACUCCAGAUGGGAGCGGCAGUGGGAAGUCAAGCACAGAUGCUUUAUUUCACGCACCAUUAAUGUGGUUUAUCAUCUGCUCCUGUUGUAUGGGAAUGCAUACAUUGGGAAGACAAUCCUUUGCGCCAUUGUUACCUUAGCGGGACACCAGAGAAAGGUAGAAAUCGAGAACAGGUAUUCACACUUGGUUGCCCACAGUGUGUUAUUUGGAUGUGUUUCACUCUACAAAAGACUACUGUGGUAGGUUAUCAUAAUGACAAAGACAAAAGAAUUAAAAGAGGCAUGUGUCUGUCAUCCGUCCGUGACCUCCAGUGUUUAUAGAAACACUUCUUUGUGUAUAUGUGCCAAGCCGUAGGGAGGCUUUACGUAACUAAGUCCAGCUUGCUAAGCUAAAGAUUGGAAUAAGGAAAAUCACAAGAACAUUGUAUGAGUGAUUUAUAAAUGUGGCACCUAAAGUAACUUAUUCAUGUAUGUCCUGAGGAUAGAUUACAGCCAGUGCAUAAUGUGCUCUUACAGGAUGACUUGUGAUGAGUACAAGAAGCCUUCCUCACAUCUUCCUCUUUGUUUCUUUUGGAUCUUUGUGCACUAUGUGUAUUCUUACAGCUGCGUGCAUGCAGCAUGGUAUAGUUUGUUUAUGUGUUCUGAUUCCCCUCUUGUACUCGUCAUUCAUGCGCUAUCUUUGCCGUAACAAAGUACAGCUGCCUGUGCUACUUAUUUUGUCAACGUGUUUGGAUUAUGGAAAGUUUUGUAUUAGCGGUUAUUUCUACCUGUGAAACUGUCUGUGUCAGCUAUUUUACUUAGUCUUGCAAAAGUAUGCUUCUCAACAUAAAUAAAUGAUCAGUGUAAGUGUUGCUUUAUUUAUUUUUGUAAUUUUGUCAGUUAUGAGGUUUUUAUACACUGUUGCAUGUUGUAUGACAGAAUAA